rnacentral:lncRNA from 1 species
AAAUCUUAACCAUCACAACAGCAAAUCAUAAUCCAUAUAUACAACACCAACCCAGCCUGUCACCUCCGGCCCAAUUACAGCAGCCCAUGCAACAUUAACCCAGCCCACAUUAGCUAUUACCCACACAAGUCACAAACCAGCCCAAUUCUUUCAUCUUCUUCAACACAUUUAGCUUCAAAUCGUGCCACCGUCACUGUCCAGUCCACCACUGUCAUCACCAUCUGCAACCUCUUGACUCGUCUAUAGCUCUAUCACCGACACUACGCACACUAGCCGGCAAUCCCUCUAUUAUCGCUGUCUUCCAUCGCUACUACCCGAAUUUUAAAUCCCUGCCGACCACAAAAGCUUCUUCCCCGAUAUCCCACAGGUCGUUGGCAACCAUAAUCCUGUUCUCUCAUUUACCAGCAUCCACUUCAAAUCAGCACAGUCAACCAUAUACAUAAUCCAAUUUGCCGCCUUCUUCAACACAUUCUACAGAUAUCUACCACCGACACCCAUUCAGUUACACAGAGGUUUCUAUUUCAGCAUCUGUCCAAUUUCAGUGAAGCCAACAAUUUAGAAUAUGCAAUGACCGUGAGUUCAGGAGCUGGAGACAUUUGACACAGGCAGAUCAGAGGCCCAAUCGUUAGCAAUUCAGGAAACUAGACUACAGGGAGUUGCUAUCUCCUAAUUCUCAUUGGUUUAUACUGCUGUUUUAUUUUAAAAGUGCAUCACUUAGAUUCUUUGUGUUGUUGUUACUAUCACAACUUUGGCCUCAAACUUCACUUGACUAGAAUCACUCAUUGAAUUGACUUGCCAUUGUUGCCCCAUUUAUCUCACUGAAUUGAUGUGACAUUAUUACCUCUUUUAUCUACCUGAUCGGAAAUCUUGACAAUACCAUUUGAUCUUAACAAGCAUUGGACCCUUGCUUUAUUCUUUACAAGCAUCAGCACUAUUAACUUGCAUUUUUGGAAGGAAAGAAAGGAGAGAGAGAAUUUCAAAUUGAUGUUUUAAUUGUUGGUCCUUGAUGCAUAUUGGUCUCUCUAUUGCAUUUCAUUUAGGUAGUAUUGCUUUGCAUACAAUUGCAUAGUGGUCGUCCUGUCACUUUACUACUUUAAACAUGAACCCCUCACAAUUUGAUGCACUCACCCGACAAAUAGCGGCUAUCCAAACUCAGGUGAUUACUACUCUUGAAGAAAGUAAGGCUUUAUCUGCUAAUUUGAACAACUUUAAGAAAAUCUCUCGUUCAACCGACGUUCACAAAUCCAAAGUGUCCCAUAAUAGACAUUAUCAUCAUUAUCAUGGUGAUCAAAAAUGCUUUAGACACAAUCGUAGGUAUAGGGAUCAGAUUCGUGAGCGAGAACGAGAUAAUUUAGAAAUUCUUACUCAAUGGAAUGCCCUUAAACAAGGAAAUCAACUAGUGACUGAGUAUAUCGCACAAUUUGAGGAAUUUCGAAU